rnacentral:ncRNA from 1 species
UAGGGUAAAUCCAUCGUGAGGUGGAGACACAAAGCCACGGAUCAGGUAUUAACUUGACAGCCGGGUUACAG